ensembl:lncRNA
GCCCCACCCCCAGCACCUGGGCUUUUGAAAGAUUAGGCCUAGCAAAUGAACUGCAAUUAUGCAGUAAUAAUGAUUCCAUUUUCUCAUUUUUAUUAAUAAAACACAUAUGCGACGUGCCACUCAGAGCAUUCCGUGGAGAGAAAACGAGUUUCCCCACCAGGUGAAUAAAAUUUCACCCAGAGGCAGGCAACAAACCACCUUCUGGUCUGGGAAUCGUGGGCGCUGCACUUGACAGCCCAGUCGCUGGGCCUCUGCCGCUAAGCCAGCCGCCUGCCCUGAGUCUCCGAAGUUGGAGGAGACCAUUUCAGCUGCUCCCGGCUUGCCUUGCUGUCCCCGCUGGAAUCAGCAGACCCUGACUUUUGGAGAAGCGUUACUGCGAUGUGUCAGCUGCUCCGGGAGAGCCCAGAGUGAUGUAUUCCAAGACCUGUCAGGAGAAAGGGUUUAUGGAGUGACCAUCCUGUGGCUACAACUCUCAAGACUGUUGUUUUAGCAAAACCCUAAUGGAACUGAUCCAGGUGUUUGGAUUGAGUUGGUCCUGGUCCCUGCUCCCCUCCCCCAAAUCUCUGAAACCACAGAUUUUUCUAGAUGCCAGACUCAGCCUUUUGUCCAAAGGGUGGUGUGGGGGUGUAGAACUCUGGCCACCUGGAAACAGCCCCAAGGAGCUGGCCUGACGGAGUGGGGGUGGGGGUGCUCCUGAGGGGGGUUGGGGGGAAAGGAUAGAAUUCCUGAGACAAGAACCCUCUAUGGAGACAGCCUGCUGGGCUUCCAGCCCUCCAUCUGGGUUCCACUAAAAACACAUUUUGCGUGUUUCUGUUGUUCUUAAGUCUGGGUUUAUUUCAAGGGGAAAAUUAUAAAGAAACAUCUCUGCCUUUA